UGGGGAAUAUUGCACAAUGGGGGGAACCCUGAUCCAGCCAUGCCGCGUGUGUGAAGAAGGCCUUAUGGUUGUAAAGCACUUUAAGCGAGGAGGAGGCUCUCUUGGUUAAUACCCAAGAUGAGUGGACGUUACUAGCAGAAUAAGCACCGGCUAACUCUGUGCCAGCAGCCGCGGUAAUACAGAGGGUGCGAGCGUUAAUCGGAUUUACUGGGCGUAAAGCGUGCGUAGGCGGCUUUUUAAGUCGGAUGUGAAAUCCCCGAGCUUAACUUGGGAAUUGCAUUCGAUACUGGGAAGCUAGAGUAUGGGAGAGGAUGGUAGAAUUCCAGGUGUAGCGGUGAAAUGCGUAGAGAUCUGGAGGAAUACCGAUGGCGAAGGCAGCCAUCUGGCCUAAUACUGACGCUGAGGUACGAGAGCAUGGGGAGCAAACA
rnacentral:rRNA from 1 species